GUAAAGAACGAUAGUACGUUGAGUGAACCAGUUCCCGAUGAAUCACUGUAGUUAAGAGAUGUUGCACGUGGUUGGUAUCCGGAUAUACGACCAUCUGGACAAUCACGUGCUGCUGGCU
rnacentral:rRNA from 1 species